CGCGGGCGGAGGCUUCCGGGGCUGGGGGCGGUGCCACGUGCAGUGCCGGCGGCGCACGGCAGAGGGCGUAGAGGAGCUACCGCCGCCCUCCCGGAUCCCCACGGCGCGGUCCGCGACGCCCGCCCUGCCGCCGCCUGGCCGAAGCCUCUCCAAGGCCAAGGCCACCCUCGGCCCCGCCCCGCCGCAACCGCCGCCCCGGAGUGUCGGUCGAAGAUCACCCUAGGCCCACGCCCUCUGCCCGCCCCGGACGCGCCACCCCCUUCCUGGGCCUCCCUCCCUCCUUCCGCUCCAGGUCAGCCCCACAUUUCUCCCUGGAGCUCUGAGAGUCUUCCAGAAAAAGUUCCUGAGGAGAGCUCACUGCUGGAGGUCUUGGUCUCUCACACCCUUGGAGCUCAUCUACCCAAGUGAGGCUGAGUGCCCUCCGCCAGUGCAGACAGACCCAGUCCGUGUUGAUGCAAAACCAGAUGAAGAAAAUGAGGCCCAGGAUGGACCUUGUUCUAUCUGGAAAAAGACAGAAAAGGGACCUUAGGACUGGAAAGGCAACUAUAGGAGCAGCACCCCCUGGUGGCGUUGGGGACCCAAGGACAAAGGAUGUACUCAACCUUACCAGCCACAGGACAAAACCAAGGCAGCAGAUGAAAGAAGGGCUGCAAAGACAGCAGUCGCUAGGGAAACAUGGAAAGUCCAGAUUUAGGCUGAAGAAACAGGGCCUCUUAAGGAGGGGGGUUACCUGCAGGAGAAGUGAUGUGAACCACAAGAAACC
rnacentral:lncRNA from 1 species